CGGGUAUGGCGGCAGCUACACAUGCAGUCGAGCGGAUGAGAAGAGCUUGCUCUUCGAUUCAGCGGCGGACGGGUGAGUAAUGCCUAGGAAUCUGCCUGGUAGUGGGGGACAACGUUUCGAAAGGAACGCUAAUACCGCAUACGUCCUACGGGAGAAAGCAGGGGACCUUCGGGCCUUGCGCUAUCAGAUGAGCCUAGGUCGGAUUAGCUAGUUGGUGGGGUAAUGGCUCACCAAGGCGACGAUCCGUAACUGGUCUGAGAGGAUGAUCAGUCACACUGGAACUGAGACACGGUCCAGACUCCUACGGGAGGCAGCAGUGGGGAAUAUUGGACAAUGGGCGAAAGCCUGAUCCAGCCAUGCCGCGUGUGUGAAGAAGGUCUUCGGAUUGUAAAGCACUUUAAGUUGGGAGGAAGGGCAGUAAGCGAAUACCUUGCUGUUUUGACGUUACCGACAGAAUAAGCACCGGCUAACUCUGUGCCAGCAGCCGCGGUAAUACAGAGGGUGCAAGCGUUAAUCGGAAUUACUGGGCGUAAAGCGCGCGUAGGUGGUUUGUUAAGUUGGAUGUGAAAUCCCCGGGCUCAACCUGGGAACUGCAUCCAAAACUGGCAAGCUAGAGUAGGGUAGAGGGUGGUGGAAUUUCCUGUGUAGCGGUGAAAUGCGUAGAUAUAGGAAGGAACACCAGUGGCGAAGGCGACCACCUGGACUCAUACUGACACUGAGGUGCGAAAGCGUGGGGAGCAAACAGGAUAA
rnacentral:rRNA from 1 species